CACGUAGGGGACGAGCGUUGUCCGGAUUCAUUGGGCGUAAAGCGCGCGUAGGCGGCUCGGAAAGUCGGUCGUGAAAUGCCGGGGCUCAACCCCGGGACUGCGUCCGAUACUCUCGAGCUGGAGGCAGGUAGGGGAGAUCGGAAUUCCUGGAUGUAGCGGUGAAAUGCGCAGAUAUCAGGAGGAACACCGGUGGCGAAGGCGGGUCUCUGGGCCGAUACUGACGCUGAGGAGCGAAAGCGUGGGGAGCGAACAGG
rnacentral:rRNA from 1 species